GCGUUGGUGGUUUAGUGGUAAAAUUCAUCGUUGCCAGCAGUUGCAGUUCCUCAAGGAGAUGGCCCUCAGGGGCCCUCCAGGGAACGCAACACCAGGAUCGAUGAGCCCCGGGUUCGAUUCCCGGCCGACGCA
rnacentral:tRNA from 1 species